rnacentral:rRNA from 1 species
UGAGCCACAGAUGUCCGAAUGGGGAAACCCACCUGUUUACAGGUAUCGUUAACUGAAUACAUAGGUUAACGAGGCAAACGAGGGGAACUGAAACAUCUAAGUACCCUUAGGAAGAGAAAUCAAUUGAGAUUGCCUUAGUAGCGGCGAGCGAACGGGUAACAGCCGAUGGUUUAUGUUGUAGUGGAACGGUCUGGAAAGUCCGGCGAUACAGGGUGAUAGCCCCGUACACGAAGCAUGAUAUAUCACAUAUUAAGUAGGACGGGACACGUGUUAUCUUGUCUGAAGAUGGGGGGACCAUCCUCCAAGGCUAAAUACUCCUAACUGACCGAUAGUGAACCAGUACCGUGAGGGAAAGGCGAAAAGAACCCCGGAGAGGGGAGUGAAAUAGAACCUGAAACCGUAUACGUACAAGCAGUGGGAGCCACUUCGUGUGGUGACUGCGUACCUUUUGUAUAAUGGGUCAGCGACUU